rnacentral:rRNA from 1 species
GAUGAACGCUAGCUACAGGCUUAACACAUGCAAGUCGUGGGGCAGCGAGGGGUUAGCUUGCUAAUCCUGUCGGCGACCGGCGCACGGGUGAGUAACGCGUAUCCAACCUUCCCCGCAGUAGGGAACAGCCCGGCGAAAGUCGGAUUAAUGCCCUAUGUCAUCCUUCGACGGCAUCAGACUGGGAUGAAAGAUUCAUCGCUGCGGGAUGGGGAUGCGUCCGAUUAGCUUGACGGUGGGGCAACGGCCCACCGUGGCGACGAUCGGUAGGGGUUCUGAGAGGAAGGUCCCCCACAUUGGAACUGAGACACGGUCCAAACUCC